AGUGAACGCUGGCGGUAGGCCUAACACAUGCAAGUCGAACGGCAGCACAGUAAGAGCUUGCUCUUACGGGUGGCGAGUGGCGGACGGGUGAGGAAUACAUCGGAAUCUACUUUUUCGUGGGGGAUAACGUAGGGAAACUUACGCUAAUACCGCAUACGACCUACGGGUGAAAGCAGGGGAUCUUCGGACCUUGCGCGAUUGAAUGAGCCGAUGUCGGAUUAGCUAGAUGGCGGGGUAAAGGCCCACCAAGGCGACGAUCCGUAGCUGGUCUGAGAGGAUGAUCAGCCACACUGGAACUGAGACACGGUCCAGACUCCGACGGGAGGCAGCAGUGGGGAAUAUUGGACAAUGGGCGCAAGCCUGAUCCAGCCAUACCGCGUGGGUGAAGAAGGACUUCGGGUUGUAAAGCCCUUUUGUUGGGAAAGAAAAGCAGCAGGUUAAUACCCCGCUGUUCUGACGGUACCCAAAGAAUAAGCACCGGCUAACUUCGUG
rnacentral:rRNA from 1 species